CAUUUAUUAGAUAAAAAGCCAAUGCAUGCUUUUACAGUAUGAAAAUUGGUGAUUUAUAAUAACUUAGCAAAUCGCAAAGUGAAAACAGGCGAUAAAUCAUUCAAGUUUCUGACCUAUCAGCUUUCGACGGUAUGGUAUUGGCUUACCGUGGCAGUGACGGUUAACGGGGGAUUAGGGUUCGAUUCCGGAGAGGGAGCCUGAGAAACGGCUACCACAUCUAAGGAAGGCAGCAGGCGCGCAAAUUACCCAAUUCUAACAGUUUGAGAGAGGUAGUAACAAGAAAUAACAAUACAAGGCAGUUAAAAUGCUUUGUAAUUGGAAUGAUAGAAAUUUAAACCCUUUUUAAAGUAUCAAUUGGAGGGCAAGUCUGGUGCCAGCAGCCGCGGUAAUUCCAGCUCCAAUAGCGUAUAUUAAAAUUGUUGCAGUUAAAAAGCUCGUAGUUGAAGUUCUGCUAAAAGUAACCGGUCUGCUUUUAAUAAAGGUGGUAUCUUGGUGUGUAUUUAGCAAUGAUGUCCUUUGAAGUGUUUUUUACUUUUUUGUAAUAAAGCAUAUUCAGGACUUUUACUUGAGAAAAUUAGAGUG
rnacentral:rRNA from 1 species